rnacentral:lncRNA from 1 species
CCCUUAGGCCUGAGCUGAGGGUGGGUGCGGGAUACAAAUCAGGUAUCCGCCCUCAUCGCCUCACAGCCUGGUGACAGAAGCAGGUGCCUGAAGGGACAAUUGUGAUGCAGGAUGGAAGCCCUGUGGUCAGUCGCUCUAGGUCUCUUAACACCUGGAGCAAGGAGCGGGGAGCCCACCGGCGCCAAGGCAUGGGAGGAAGCAUGAUGCUCAGGUUAAGCCUGGGGCUGCUGCUCCUGGCUGUGCUGCUGCCUCUGCAGUUGGACGCCCAGGUUACCACGCCACCUGCGCCUGGGGGCGGUGGCGGUGGCGGUGGCGGUGGCGGUGGCGGUGGCAGUGGCGGCGGUACCAGCAGUGUCAGCGCCCUGCAGUCUUCUGUCAGUGUUCUCGUCUUGUCGCUGUCCUUUCUUCUCCAUCUCUACUGUUAAACUCAGGCCGAGAAACAUCUUCACUUCCCGCAACCCAUUUUAGAACCGCGGUGGAAAUGACCUUCUACAAAAGAUCAGUGUGCUCUGGACAACGUCGAUGAAGGCCGAAGUCGGAGUUGGAGUUUCGUGUAGGAGAUGGAGCGGACAGAGAACAGCCAAAAUUAGUGAAAGAUGCGGUUUUAUGACCCGGGGCUUAAGAAAUAUGGACUCUUUCAACACAACCUUGAAAAGAAUAAUUUCAUCUUGAAUUGAGGGAGAAAAAGAUGGGAUGUGGAAUGGAGAUUGUUUUAAUUUCAAUUCACCAAAUCUGUAAGGCCAUAAAAAAUUAUGUACUCUAAAAGGCUUCUGUGGUUCACUUUGUACACUGUCAGUUGUACCUAUAAAUUAGUACUAAUUUCAUGCUG